UCCCAACUAACAAUCACCUCAAAUCAGUGCCUCUUUCAAGGGCUUCACAAUAAUGGACUGCUCUGCAGGCUAGUCAUAUCAUGGAGUUUAUAUAUAUACACUCGCUUCUUAUAAAUUUCAUAUAGAUUAGCUAAAGUAAAUUCAUUAUGAUGAAAAAAAAAAAAUUCAUGAUGAGGUUGCAAAGUAAACUAAAAUAUAUCUACCAGCUGCAUUAUGCUAUAUAUAUAUAUAUAUAUGCACCAUAAUUG
rnacentral:lncRNA from 1 species